UAGGGAAUCUUCCGCAAUGGACGCAAGUCUGACGGAGCAACGCCGCGUGAGUGAAGAAGGAUUUCGGUUCGUAAAACUCUGUUGUUAGAGAAGAACAGCGCAUAGAGUAACUGUUAUGCGUGUGACGGUAUCUAACCAGAAAGCCACGGCUAACUACGUGCCAGCAGCCGCGGUAAUACGUAGGUGGCAAGCGUUGUCCGGAUUUAUUGGGCGUAAAGCGAGCGCAGGCGGUCAAUUAAGUCUGAUGUGAAAGCCCCCGGCUCAACCGGGGAGGGUCAUUGGAAACUGGUUGACUUGAGUGCAGAAGAGGAGAGUGGAAUUCCAUGUGUAGCGGUGAAAUGCGUAGAUAUAUGGAGGAAUACCAGUGGCGAAGGCGACUCUCUGGUCUGUAACUGACGCUGAGGCUCGAAAGCGUGGGUAGCAAACAGG
rnacentral:rRNA from 1 species